AUGGUUUCCUCAGUAUAUGGGCCUCAAGGUGAUGAUAAUAAAUUGCGAUUUCUGGAGCAGCUGCUGCAGUUUGGUGAGCAAGUUCACUUGCCAUGGAUCUUAAAUGGUGACUUUAACUUGAUCUAUUCCGAGGAGGAGCGCAGCUCAGGGAGGGGUAAUAGAAGACUCAUGUCUAAAUUCAGACACACCAUUAACAGACUGGGGCUGCAUGAUAUGCCAAUGAUGGGUAGGCGAUUCACUUGGUGCAAUCAGCAGGAGCGAUCUGUAAUGGCCAGACUGGACAGGGUACUCUUCAACAAUGACUGGGAAGAUAUUCACCCCAUUAGUGAUCUGCUGCCGCUCAGUUCUAAUAUUUCAGAUCACACACCCUUGCUGCUCUCCUGUUGUGCGGCUAGACCUCGGACUGGACGUUUUCACUUUGAA
rnacentral:rRNA from 1 species